AGAGAUGGGGAACCUCUCCCAAGGACA
rnacentral:tRNA from 1 species